rnacentral:rRNA from 1 species
GUAGCCUACGGGACGCAGCAGUGGGGAAUAUUGCACAAUGGGGGAAACCCUGAUGCAGCGACGCCGCGUGAGUGAAGAAGCGCCUCGGCGCGUAAAGCUCUGUCAGCAGGAACGAUAAUGACGGUACCUGAAGAAGAAGCCCCGGCUAACUACGUGCCAGCAGCCGCGGUAAUACGUAGGGGGCAAGCGUUAUCCGGAUUUACUGGGUGUAAAGGGAGCGUAGACGGCGGGGCAAGUCUGGAGUGAAAGGACUGG